GCAACCUCGGGGGGCAGCAGUAGGGAAUCUUCCACAAUGGACGAAAGUCUGAUGGAGCAACGCCGCGUGAGUGAAGAAGGGUUUCGGCUCGUAAAGCUCUGUUGGUAGUGAAGAAAGAUAGAGGUAGUAACUGGCCUUUAUUUGACGGUAAUUACUUAGAAAGUCACGGCUAACUACGUGCCAGCAGCCGCGGUAAUACGUAGGUGGCAAGCGUUGUCCGGAUUUAUUGGGCGUAAAGCGAGUGCAGGCGGUUCAAUAAGUCUGUUGUGAAA
rnacentral:rRNA from 1 species